rnacentral:lncRNA from 1 species
CGCCAUGUUUGGUGCUCUCAAUGGUAACCCAAUUUAAUAAAAGGAUUACCAAUUCAAAAAAUUGUAGAAAAACAAAAAGGAAAUAAAGAAAUUAGGGAUGUGAGAGUUUAAAAUGGAUUAGAAAUGGAAAACUAUAAAACUAUAAAACUAUAUUGGUGCAUGUUUCUUCAGCCGAUGUCACUCGCUUCCUCUCAAUAUCCCCCAUUACCAUUGAAUACUACUGCUUCUCAGCUACUACUUUUGAACUAGAGUUGGACAACCGUGAAAUCUUUUAGCGAGUUUGG